GAUGAACGCUGGCGGCGUGCCUAAUACAUGCAAGUCGAGCGAACGGACGAGAAGCUUGCUUCUCUGAUGUUAGCGGCGGACGGGUGAGUAACACGUGGAUAACCUACCUAUAAGACUGGGAUAACUUCGGGAAACCGGAGCUAAUACCGGAUAAUAUUUUGAACCGCAUGGUUCAAAAGUGAAAGACGGUCUUGCUGUCACUUAUAGAUGGAUCCGCGCUGCAUUAGCUAGUUGGUAAGGUAACGGCUUACCAAGGCAACGAUGCAUAGCCGACCUGAGAGGGUGAUCGGCCACACUGGAACUGAGACACGGUCCAGACUCCUACGGGAGGCAGCAGUAGGGAAUCUUCCGCAAUGGGCGAAAGCCUGACGGAGCAACGCCGCGUGAGUGAUGAAGGUCUUCGGAUCGUAAAACUCUGAUAUUAGGGAAGAACAAAUGUGUAAGUAACUGUGCACAUCUUGACGGUACCUAAUCAGAAAGCCACGGCUAACUACGUG
rnacentral:rRNA from 1 species